CUGACACAGGGAGGUAGUGACAAUAAAUAACAAUGCCGGGCCUUUACUGGUCUGGCAAUUGGAAUGAGAACAAUUUAAAUCCCUUAUCGAGGAUCAAUUGGAGGGCAAGUCUGGUGCCAGCAGCCGCGGUAAUUCCAGCUCCAAUAGCGUAUACUAACGUUGCUGCAGUUAAAAAGCUCGUAGUUGGAUUUCUGGUGGGAGCGAUCUGUCUUCACACUGUGAGGUACUUGAUUGUCUCCAGCCAUCCUUGGGAAAAUGCUUCCUGGCAUUAGGUUGUCGGGUAGUGGAUUCCCAUCUUUUACUGUGAAAAAAUUAGAGUGUUCAAAGCAGGCUUAUGCCGUUGAAUAUACUAGCAUGGAAUAAUAAUAUAGGACCUUGGUACUAUUUUGUUGGUUUGCGCACCAAGGUAAUGAUUAACAGGGACAGUUGGGGGUAUUUGUAUUCCAUUGUCAGAGGUGAAAUUCUUGGAUUUUUGGAAGACAAACUACUGCGAAAGCA
rnacentral:rRNA from 1 species